CGUACAGCAGUGUGAACACACACAUGCACAGACACACACAUACGCACCCCAGACUGCAGUGUGACCGGCAAAGCACACGUUCCCACCGAAGUCUUCUUGUCUGUUUUUGCUUUCACCGACACGUCGCACAUUCAAGGAGAGCUGCAGGAACAGAACCCAAGGCAAUCUUCGGGAGCACAGCAAGUGUGAAGGCUCCCAGGGGCAGGAGGAGAAACGAGCGUGACGGAGAGCACGAGCGAGGGAGAAGUCAGCGCCUUACUGCAUGGAGGGGGCUCAAGUUAGAGUGCACCCGCAUGGACAGGGCGCCAGCGCCUGGUCCCAUCCCCGCCCUACUGGAAGGGUUUUGAGGGGAGCUGGGUUUGGGCACCGCCUUCCCAGCUUCACUGCCCUCUUCGGGGUCCCUUCACAGCCCCCACCCAGAGAGCUGACUCAACCCCUGUUCUGCCCACUGCCCGGAUCCCUGCACGAUGUGGUCAUCAGCACCGUCUGGGAGGAAGCGAUCCCAGGCACCAUGCGGGUGUCGGGGAGAUGUUUUCUACAGGUGUGCUCCUCGAGUAUCCGAGGUCACAGCGUGGAGUAUAUUGGAACCCACGCCACUGGAAGCCGCAAUUUGAAUUUCCUGCCACCAACGCUGCAUCCAAAUCCACACGGCAGGAAGAGAGGCGUGAAAGCUCUGAGAGUGGGAACCGGCGAACGGAGAUGAGAGCGAGACUGGCAGGGAGCCCUGCAUUGACCUGUGAAAAAGAAAAUAAAAGCACAGAAGUUCCUUACCACCUAACAAAAAUAAAAAAAAGUGUACAGGUGCCUUGCAUGAGUAAAUACUGAUGUUAAGGAACAACAUGAGAACAAAACCGCUCCCAUUAAAGUGACAAAGGAAUCCAGGAGCAGAGGAAGUGUGCUGAGCGCCCAGAGUGGAUCAGCUCUACAUGUAAGGCAGUGAGUGACAAAAGCCCCACCAUUUCCUCCUCUGUGAGCAGUGGUUAUAAGGUGGGGAAGUUGCCAGUCCCCUCGCAGGCCAGCGGUCAGGUCAGAUCUGCGUGUCCUCGGGUUCCUCAGCCUCCUCCUGGUCCUCCGUCCUUGGCAGGCAGCUGCGUAGGCAAGCACCGGGGACUGUGCCACUUUGGCUCCAACAGCGUCAUCGUCUGCACAGCGAGCACGCUUGAGCAGUUGUGUCUGAAAAGCACAGUGCGUUAAUUGGGACAGCCCUGCAGAAGUCCCUUGGAAAAGUGUGUUCCAGCCUCAUUAAAACCACUGGCUUUAUCACAGUUUGCAGUAAGGGCCAGGAAUGAACUGCUGAAUAACUUCUCAUUAACACAAAAGAAUCUGUCAUGCUGAAUCAUAAACCGCAGUCUGAGGCGUCAAUUACAGGCUUCAGAAGUGGAGGACACAGAGACUGCAGAUGCUACCACUAACAGGGACGGCCAGAGCUCCCUGGUCCCGCGUCUAUGCGCUUCUCAGGCGGGCUGUUCACAGAGCACUUACACAGAAUGAGACUCGGUUGCCCAAGGCUGUUGUAAGCGAUAAAUAACCUGUGUAGGAUCCGGUGUGUCUGUAAGGAAGGAAGCUGGGCAGACCCAGUCUGCGCUCCACCACCCGGGAAAGGCUUCUGUGACACGGGGAAAGCCAUCGUGGGAGAGUGGCCAGCUGCCAAGUCACUCCAACCAGCACUACACACAGGGCUCAGCCGUGACUGAGCUGCUUGCAAGAAACCUGCCUUUCCAGGUGAAGAGCUGGAGGCUCAGCCGGACUGAAAACUUUGCGCACCUUAGGGACAGCAUCGAGGUCCAUGCGAUCUCUCCCGCCCCAACACUCCUCAGGCUCUCUUCCCACUUUGCCAGGCAGCGCUUCUCCUGUAGAUUCCUUUAGCCAUUAGACUUGGAAGGAGAAGUAGAAAAGACAGAAUUCUCCCUUCAGGCACAAGGCUGUAAGAUGGAAGUGUUUCUCCUCUUUAAUAAACGGGAAUCCUAAACAGCGUCUACCCUUAGGGCGGAGAGGAGAAACGCAUGGUGUGAUGAACUACACCCGAUGCAGACUGAGGACACGCACAGCCCUUUCCUGGAGCCCUGACACCCGCCUUGCGGUGAGCCUGGCCUAGGAGAACAGGGACGGCAGCUCCCUGAAGUCCAUCGCUGGACAGAGGAGCUGGGGCCCCGAAGGCUUCCAACACAAGUCCACUCGGGGCCUUGCCAGACACAUGAUCUCUGCCAAGACUGCCAACUUGGCGUACUGCAGCCCGAAGUCAGCUAUGGGUCUCCCCAAAAACGAUGGCCAGGCCACGUGGGGUCCCAUAAACUUCAUUGGCACAGACAGGCACUGGGCCAGACUGGGCCUCCAGGCCUCUGCUUGCUGACUCUUGAUCCACAUCACGGGGAGCACAGGGCUGGCCCACGUGGCAGAAUUCACGUUCCAAGUUUAAAGUACUAACCAGACAUUUGUAAGACUCACUUCGUCCUGCCAUCUGGUUGCUAUCUUGCCGUUUCUUUUUUUUUUCUCGUGAAAGUAGAGACAAAAUUUUAGUUGUCUGACCGUGGGAACGCAGUCCUGCAACCUCCUCUCCAUGUAAUUAUCUUUCAAAUGGAAGGUUGGAGUAGGUCAAAAGAAUUAUGACCUCAAUCUUUAUCAGUCUCUUGUAUUGGAAUCCCCUUUACAACUCUAAUUUCCUCCUUUUUAAAAUCUAUUUUAUAAAUAUCUUCCAGGGCACCAAUUAGGCACUGAGCUGUUUCUCUUUCUCCCAUGUGUUGCUCUGUACAGAGAGAAGCUUGAUUUUCAUCAUUAAAAUUCUAUACUUAUGGAUUUUUUAAAGGAUUUAUGUUAAAACCACCAGAGCUAUAUUGGAAUUCAUAGCACAAUAUUUCCACCUUGGUUUCCACACGUAGACCCUGGUUACGUGGCCCUUUUUGGCCAUAUCCGAGUUCACUCUGGUAAUUUGAAAAUAAAGAUUUC